rnacentral:rRNA from 1 species
AACGAACGCUGGCGGCAGGCUUAACACAUGCAAGUCGAGCGCCCCGCAAGGGGAGCGGCAGACGGGUGAGUAACGCGUGGGAAUCUACCCAUCCCUACGGAAUAGCUCCGGGAAACUGGAAUUAAUACCGUAUACGCCCUACGGGGGAAAGAUUUAUCGGGGAUGGAGGAGCCCGCGUUGGAUUAGCUAGUUGGUGGGGUAAAGGCCUACCAAGGCGACGAUCCAUAGCUGGUCUGAGAGGAUGAUCAGCCACAUUGGGACUGAGACACGGCCCAAACUCCGACGGGAGGCAGCAGUGGUGAAUAUUUGACAAUGGGGGCAACCCUGAUCCAGCCAUGCCGCGUGAGUGAUGAAGGCCUUAGGGUUGUAAAGCUCUUUCACCGGGGAAGAUAAUGACGGUACCCGGAGAAGAAGCCCCGGCUAACUUCGUGCCAGCCGCCGCAGUAAUAC